rnacentral:rRNA from 1 species
AGUGAACGCUGGCGGUAGGCCUAACACAUGCAAGUCGAACGGCAGCACAGGAGAGCUUGCUCUCUGGGUGGCGAGUGGCGGACGGGUGAGGAAUACAUCGGAAUCUACCUUUUCGUGGGGGAUAACGUAGGGAAACUUACGCUAAUACCGCAUACGACCUACGGGUGAAAGUGGGGGACCGCAAGGCCUCACGCGAUUAGAUGAGCCGAUGUCCGAUUAGCUAGUUGGCGGGGUAAUGGCCCACCAAGGCGACGAUCGGUAGCUGGUCUGAGGGGAUGAUCAGCCACACUGGAACUGAGACACGGUCCAGACGCCUACGGGAGUCAGCAGUGGGGAAUAUUGGACAAUGGGCGCAAGCCUGAUCCAGCCAUACCGCGUGGGUGAAGAAGGCCUUCGGGUUGUAAAGCCCUUUUGUUGGGAAAGAAAUCCUGUCGAUUAAUACUCGGUGGGGAUGACGGUACCCAAAGAAUAAGCACCGGCUAACUUCGUGCCAGCCGCCGCAGUAAAAC